AAAAAAAACAUAACAUAACAAAAAACCAUCACGUUGUUUUAAAUCUCAAAUUAAACCUAGUCUAAAGGACUAUAGGUAAGAUACCAUCAUCAUGGUAACCUAAUAUUUUUUGUUGCAUUAAAACAUCAAGUCCUCACUGUUAUUUACAUUUAUUCCCUCCAGCAUUACAGCACAGAAGCGAGCCUGCAAUACAGCUACAUGUGUGACCCAUCGCUUGGCAGAUUUCCUGAACCGCUCAGGAGGAAUUGGAAGCAGCAAGUUUGUCCCAACCAACGUUGGAUCACAUGCGUUUGGUCGGCGAAGGAGAUUGAGUCAAGAGUAGACAUAAAUGUCUUAGCAAUAUGGUUGCCAGGCUAUACAUUUAUAGCUCUCUGCCGUGCCAUGAUCAAGAGAGAAAAGAAAAAAAAAAUCAACAUGUGCAUCAAGAUCCCCGGGAAUGGACAUCAUUUCACUCAUCAUCUGAAUGGAUUCCUGUUGACCGCAUUGAUCUGUAAAAUGCAAAAGCCCAUUCUCAAACUGUUAUUGUUUGGCUCUCUAUUAAAAAAGAAAGAAAUGGUUAAAAAAGCAAGAAAACAUUAACAUCCAUUUAAAAGUGGUCAUGCUCAUUUUUCAAUCCCAUAAAAAUUGAGCGAGAGUGACGAGAGUGAUGAGAAUGAUUGUACAUUCUUUACUGUUAACAGAGAGCACAUCGUGUGUACAGUAUGCUGUGGCCCAUGUUCCUCUGCUGCACGUCGCAGUUUUGUGGGGAUGAAAUUAAAGCAGUGCCUUGAAAAAGGCUUCCCUGACUUAUGGACGUGUCUCGUGCCUUGAUGUAAAUCCACUUUACAUACCGCUGUUGUACAGAAUGUCUGAUGCAGAAAAAGAGAGUUGCAAUCAAUGAUAAUGAUAAAGUUGUAACAGUUGUGAACCUGAGCAAGAAUAAAAUGUAUUUUAGAUACA